UACAGAGGGUGCAAGCGUUAAUCGGAAUUACUGGGCGUAAAGGGCGCGUAGGCGGCACUGCAAGUCAGUUGUGAAAUCUCCGGGCUUAACCCGGAAAGGUCAACUGAUACUGCAGGGCUAGAGUGCAGAAGGGGCAACUGGAAUUCUCGGUGUAGCGGUGAAAUGCGUAGAUAUCGAGAGGAACACCUGCGGCGAAGGCGGGUUGCUGGGCUGACACUGACGCUGAGGCGCGAAAGCCAGGGGAGCGAACGGG
rnacentral:rRNA from 1 species